CUCUGUAAAAACGAAAAGGGAAAAAUAAGACUUUAUACAGCACUGAAGUCAAAACUGUGCCACACCAAAAGAGAAUUCAUUGCACAGCUUGUGAAUGACCUUUGUGAAGGUCAAGGAAGUCAUCUAGAUAUCUGGGUCGCCGAACUAUUUGAUAUCAAUGACGAUGGAGUUAUUGAUCAUUUUGAGAAAACACUCUUUGAUGAUUGAAAGUUUCAUCCUUAUAGGAAAAUGACCGAUUUCUUUGGCAGCUGUGACGAGCACUUUGGAGAUUGGAUUAUUAUGAAAAUAUUUGAAACAUAUUAUAUGUUUUAAAUUGGUACGACUGUCUAGUAGUGUGGAUAUGAAUCUGGCUUUUGCAUCACCGUCCAUUAAUAAUUAAUUGUUUGUCACCAAGUGGUUUGCUAUGUUUUAAUAUCUAAUAGUAUGAUUUAAUUUUGUAUGUACGUCAUCAAUAGCAGAAUCUUAUAUUUCUUCGUUUGUAUGUCCGUUUUUACGACAUUCAGCGGACGUGGCAUAUCAUUUGUAUCGCACUUCGAAUGCAUUCACUAUAUUGUAUCAUACAUAACUAAGUUAUAAUAUAAUCUCGUCUUCAUAUUGUUUCAUAAAAUUUUAUCUUUUCCAUGAUGAAAUAAUGUUUUGUUGAUUGUUGCGUCAGUAUUUAAACAUGCAGCUACAAAAAUAUACCAUUGUUUGAUAUUAAAUUUUAUUAUAUGUGAUAAGUUAAAAUUUGUCAUUGAUUUCACUGUUCAAAAACAGUAUUUAUAACGCUUUUGCGUUUGAAUUGUCCGUCCAAAUAAAAAAAUUGUGAUUUGUGAUUUUCAUUCUUG